CUAAUCUAGGACGAAGAUAUAAGAAAAUAGGUGAACAUUUAUAUCUAAUGCUAGAAAAAGAAGAAUUAAAAUUAGAAGAUAAAUUAACAGCAAUGGUAAGAAUAGAAAAAGAAAAUGAAGAAAUAGACAGGAAAAAGGAAAUAGAAAAAAUAAAACAACAAACUACGGAAGAAAUACGAAAAAUAGAAGAAACCAAAAAUAGUAGAAGUGCUGAAUUAGAAAAAGAAUUACAAAUGUUAAAAGAACUGUAUGAACAAAGACAAAAAGAAAAAGAAGAAAA
rnacentral:lncRNA from 1 species